rnacentral:ncRNA from 1 species
AAAGUCUUGGUCCUGAACCCCCCAUUACCCCCCUCCAAAACUAUACAUGCAAGCCUCAACACAACAGUGAGUCGCCCACACCCAAAACAAGUGGAGCAGGCAUCAGAUCUUAGAAAACCUAAUCAAAAACGCCACGUAACACCACACCUACACAGGAAACCCAGCAGUAACUAAAAUUAGGCAAUGAGUGAAAACUCGACCUAGUUAUGGAGAAGAAAGCCGGUAAAACUCGUGCCAGCUACCGCGGUUAUACGAGAGGCUUAAGAUAAUGCCAGACGGCGAAAAGAUGGUCAGAGAAAGUCAAAAAAUUAAGGAUGAAACCGAACUAGCCGUCUAACGCCAAAACCAAAAGGAACCCCCCCCCUUAACAAAAAGACAACUUCAACCACCAAAGCUAGGAAACAAACUAGGAUUAGAUACCCUACUAUGCCCAGCCAUACAAGGCAGCCUACAAUCUGCCCGCCCGAUUAGUACGAGCGAAAGCUUAAAACUCAAAGGACUUGACGGUGCCCCACAUCAACCUAGAGGAGCCUGUUCCAUAAUCGAUAACCCACGCUCAACCCAACCGUCUCUAGCCAAUCAGUCUAUAUACCGCCGUCGCCAGCUCACCUUGCAAGAGCCAAAAAGUGAACACAACAGCCACCACCCUAAAACGACAGGUCAAAGCGUAGCAAAUGAGGCGGAGUAAAAUGGGCUACACUCUCUACAACAGAGCACGAAAGAAUGGCAUGAAAAACCACCCGAAGCCGGAUUUAGCAGUAAGUUAAACAAGCCUGUUUACCUGAACAAAGCCCUGGGGCGCGCACACACCGCCCGUCACCCCCAUCCCAAACAAUCACAAGCCUACAUAAACCAAAACCACACUAAAGAUGGGGUAAGUCGUAACAUGGUAAGCGUACUGGAAAGUGCGCUUGAACAU